CAGCUGCAUGAAGCUUCCCAAGAGAGCACCCAGGCAAGAUGAGAAAAAGAACCAACUCACCAAUACACAGAAGCAUAGGAAAUAAUUAUUAGAAAUUGGAGACAAUGUUAUUCUCACUUACAACCACAGAAGAAAGAAUAAAUGACUUGCCCAGUGUAAUACUGUCUCUUGGUGCAGGAACCAUGAUUUAAAACAAACACUCCAUACUUAUUUCUCCUUUGUGCUCUUUCUUAGGAAGUGGCAGAGAAUCUUCAGGGAAACUGUAACUGGAUCUAGAUUAUGGCUUCGGCCCAUAGAUUUUAUCUGUUAGGUAAAAUUUAGAAUUUAGAAUUUUAGAUUCUCCUGAUCCUUGUGGAGGAACAAAGCAUUAGAUGAAGAUUUUUUAUUUGGCACUGAGUUAAUGCAGGAGUGAAGGUAUAUCAAAUGAACUAAAAGAAAUAGGGUGACAUGCAAUUUUGUUUAGCAAAACCCUUACUAACAUAAAUUCUAUUUCACUUUCUAACUGCACCCAUAUAAUCCUGAUCCCAAAUUAGCCUUCAUUAUAUUCAGUGAAACCACGUGCAUUUGGUUUUCUAAAACAUAUUAUCUGAGGCAUCAUUAAUGAAGCGUAUCAAAUUAACAGAUAUUUGUUGAGCUCAUGCUGUGCGGAAGGCUCUGUGUUGGAUGUGGUAUCACAUGUUCCAUCCUGAAGAGCCAGUGUGGGUGGCCUCCUGUAGCCGGCUCAGAUUUCUGGAAUGAUGUGGGUAUUUUUCUUUGAUGGUAAUAACGGAUGAAUGAGGAUGCUCGAUUCCUUUUGCACACUUGAGGCUAUAUGAACUAUUGGUCAUUUGUAUAUCAAAGAAAUGAUUCCUGCUGUACAUCUUCUGCCCAGCAAUGUGUUAAUAGCUUCAUCUAUCCAUUUCAAAUAGAAGGGAAGCUAUUUUUUAUUUUAUACUCUUGAGUUGUUUGACUAUUUCUUUGUCCAAAUGUUAUUUUUAUUUACACGUGCUAAUUUUUAAAAGUACGUGUGCUCAGAAGCUAAUAUUUGACAACAUGUGUAUAUCUUUUUAUUAUUUUUAUUUUUUCUCAUUUAUACUUAUUUUUUGAAAGAUUCUUUAAAUUCUACAGUGUUUUACAAUUUUUAAGUUUCACACACAAUUUUGUAUAAUCCCUUAAUAACAUUUUUUAUCCCUUACCCCUAUAUAUUUUUGGAUUGUUCAGUGAGCGUUUAUUUAUGUUAUUUAAAAUGCUUUCAUUUUUGCACAGUUUGCUCAGGACCCCACGACAAAAUACCAUAGACUGGAAGGCUUAAACAACAGAAGUUUAUUUUCUCACAGUUCUGGAGGUAGGAAGUUCACGCUCAGGGUGUUGGCGGUUGUGGUUUCUCCUGAGUCCUCUCUCCUUGGCCUGCAGACGGCCACCUGCUUGCUGUGUCCACACAUGGCCUUUUCACUGUGCAUUCACAUCGCUGGUAUCUCUGCCUCUGUUUAGGGACACUGGUCAGACUGGACUAGGCCCCACCCAUAUGAUCUCAUGUAACCUUAAUUACCCUUGAAAUGUCCCGUCUCUCCAUACAGACACAUUCUAAAGCACUAGGAGUUAAGGCUUUCAUAUAUGCAUUUAAGGAAGCACAAUUCAGCCCGUAACAAUUUUCAUUAUCUUAUUUAUAGUAACAGAAUAUAUAAAUCCCUUUAUGCUAUUAUUAAACGACACUGUGUUUUCCUCUUUACAUUAUUUUAAAGGUCUACAUUUUACAUACCUCUUUGGUUGUAACAAUAAUUAUUAUUUAACAUUUAUUUGGUACUUAGUAUCUGUCAGGCAUGCUGCUAAUUAUUUGAAUUAUAUAGCAUGUAAGCUGUAUGCAACCGUAAGAGCUAGAUACUACUAUUAUUUCUAUUGUGGUGGUGAAAAAACAGAGGUUUAGGAUGUUCACAGACUUGUAAAAGUUCAUGACUGAUAAAUGGAAAAGACUAGAGGCCCUUUGUCUGCAAAACAACUUUGUGAAAUCUGUAUUGCAGGUACUAUGUAAUUUGUUGGGGGUGGGGUAGUGGCUAGUUCCCUUAGCAGAUUUUGAAUUCCUACCUGGUAGCUCCAUUUAUUCUUUGUAUUUCUAGCAUUUUAGUUCAUUGAUUCAACCUAACCUUCCAAAGCUAUGUCUCAGUAAACAUUCUGCUGAACUUGAAUGCAAGGGUGCUUCCUACAUUUUUUGAAUCAAACCAAAUCAAGAGAUGAAACAGUUUGCCUAAGGCUACCCAGUUAAUUGGUGACAGAUUAAAAAACUAGAACUUUAUUACAUUUCUGGUCCAGUUAUUGUACUUUUACACCAAAUUGCUCCCUUUAAGAGUGACAUGACCUGCUAAAGUUUGUAGGAAAGAGAGAGAAACACACACCACAUAUUCAUUUGAGAAUGCUUGUUCUCUCCAAAAGAGAACCCCAACACAGAGCUUUUCUCCUCUGGCAAUCAGAUAUUGAUCUAAUAACUCAGAGCCGACUUUAGAUGAAGGAAUUCAGUGCUAUUUUCAGAACAGCCACAACGCCAUUUUUAAAUUUAUAAUGAAAAAAAAAAAAAAAACAAACCCACUUCUAUUGGGCAUGGAAUUAGUUAUAUCUGCUUGCAUAGUUUCAGAGCAUAAAGGCACCUGUGCAUUGUCAGCUGCAUCCUUGUGACACCUACCCCUUGUGCUUUCACAUUACAAUUUCAGCUUUAGCUUUGAGUGGAAAGCCCUGGGGUGUCAGCGUGCUUUCUAUUAGAAUCCAAUUCAUUGUCGUUCCUCUCCUUCAGCCAUCUGGUUACGACUGUGAGUAAACAGGAAGCACUGAUGCUUUAUAAAGCAUAGAAGGAUGAAGUCCCAAGCAUUUCAAAUGGUCCCUAGCUUUUCCACUUAGAAAUCAAAUUCAGUUGUGUUACUCUUUUUGCCCCUUUUAUUGUAGCCACGUUCUGUGUUAUCCUAAUAGACCUUCUUUGAUUUCCAUCUUGUAAAAAUAGGAUAGAGGGUGUUUACCGGUAAUUUCUUAAAAUACCUUCCUUACUGAAAUCAUUACAGAGGGGUUUCACCUUAUUUUAAGUAGGCGUUUUCAAUGUACAUACUGGCCCACAAUGUACAUAUUUAUUUCUUUUUAUUGUUUUAUGCUGACCGAUCCUGCCAUUUUACUCCAUACAUCAUUCUAAAGAAAUCAUUUCAUCUGUUUUUACCAUUUAAUGUGCUCACCUCCAGUGUGGAGACAGUAAGUCUGGAUUGUUUAAGAGGUAAACCUGGGAAAAUUAAUUCCAGUUUGGAAAGAAGUCUGAGUGUCUCUGCUGAAAAGGUUUUAUAAUUGAUAUUAUUUUUGUUGCCAUCAACAGGCUGUGGAAGGUAAUAGAAAAAAAAUUUAACUGAACAGGGUCCAAGCCUCAUGCUCAACUGUUGGAGUGUAAUUCUGUUUCAAUAUAGAAGCCUUAAGUUCCAUUCUGUAUGUGAUUGGACCCACAAAAGGCAGGGACUCCACAAACUCAUUACAAUCAAAUGGGACUUGAAUUCUCUUGUCUAAUGUCAUAAUAAGCAAUUAUGAGCAUCUUCUCAGCAUUCAAAUCGGGUAAUGGUGAAACCCUAGAGAGACAUUAGAUGCUGGCAGACUCUGGCUGAUGGAAUGUGCAUAUGCUCAAUGGAUCCCUGAAGGCAGGAUGGGUAGCUGGAUGCCAGGGCAGAUUGCCCUCAGUAUUUAGGGUAGACGCUACCUUCAAUUAUGACUUGUGUUUUAUAAUCUGAGCAGUUAUAAUAAUAUGUGUGUUCAUUCUGGAGAACUCUCUGCGGCAACCGUAGGAACAGCCUUUCACAUCCAUCUCCCAUUUCACGAGAGAAUAGCAAAUGAAACUCUUCUUUCAACUUUAUAUUUCUCUGAUAGCAAAGUCUGGAAAAAUACAAGUUCUACUCUACACUAUCAUUUUGUUUUAUGUUAAAUCUCCUUUUGUCCACUCUGGGAGAAGUAGCAGAUUUUGCAUUAUCAGUGGGCUCCUUUGUAAAGAUAAUUAGAUAAGUAAAUACUUGCAGCCCUACAGCAAGGCAUUGAGGAGGGCUUCUUAUUGGAAAAUUCUCCUACACACAAGUUAGUUACUGAAUUGUGUUAUUCUUUUCAGCUGAGUCCUCAGAGCAAAAUGAGAUGGUCUUUCUAAUUUUUUUUUUCCCCACUAGUUAAAGAAGGAGCCUCAACCAGAUAAUUUCUCAGGGGGAUUCUUGCUCAAAAUUGUAUGAUUCUGUGAAAAACUGAUCAGAUGACAUUUAGACAUGUUGAGGAAUUCUUUAAUUCAGAGAUCUUUAGAAGGCUGUCCCUUCUGUAAGGACCAGUCUAGAUGGUACAAAUGAAAUAGAAAGUUGGACCAAUGAAACAUCUCUGAAAAGAGAGUUUUGGGGGGGGGGGGAUGAUUUUUAACUGUAAAGAAAAAGAAAUGGAUGGUUUACAGGAAUUAUUGGUAUUAUUUUCAUAUAUCCAUAAUUUGCAACUUUCCUACUUCUAAAAACUCUCUAAGGCAUAUAAUACACAUUAAAAAUUAAACCAUUAUAAUAAUUGUGUAAACCAACUAUAAUGGAAAAAAUAAAAAUCGUAAAAAAAGAAAAUUAAACCAUUACAGAUACUCUGUGUAGACUAAGCCAUACAACUUCAAUAUUUAAAAAUGUUAGAUCUAUUAUCUGGUUCAUUUCCCACCCUCAGCAUAAUCAAUGUAGUUAUUUCUUUUGUCUCAACAACCAAAUCACUCUGCUGCAUGGUUGGUCUGAUCCAUGAUGGCAGCAUCAAUUAUCCUAACGGUGAAAAUUCCGAUGUGGUCAUCCUACUCAAAUACAGGCAAACUGCCUUGGGAACCAAUCUCAGCUGCUCCUCAAAUAGAGUCCCCUUUGGUGCAAUAAAUCGAGAAGGGAUUCCUUUUUGGCUACCAAAGCGAGUUAUUUUAAGACAGUCCUACCACGAAAUGAUUAUCUUUCACUUUGCAUAUUAUAAAUGUCCUCCUUUACCUUCCAGGUAUCGUCAUCUCUCUAGCUUAGCAAAGAUAGUUGUCAUUGAAAGGACUAGCAUCCAUUUUUUAAAGAAAACAGAACAAUAUUCUCCUACUUGAAAAAUUUGAUGUAGGAAUUUUCCUAGCAUGUUGACAGAAAGAUGAUCCAAAAUGUAUCCGUAGUCCCAAACACAUUAUGUUGAAAUUAUUUUUCAACUGAAAAAGAAAAAAAAGGUAGCUUUCCUUUCAAAUUGGCAUGUAAUUCACAGUAAACUUUUCUUAUGCAGUUAGGCUUAAGGAUUGGGCCCAGGGAAUUAAAAGCAAACAAGUCAACAAUAAACAAUCAAGUAAUGAUGAGAGAUUUGACACAGUUCACGGGUUGCCAGGAGUUCAAAAGGCCUACUUUUCACAUCAGCUUUCAUAAUUCUAAUGCCCUCUGUGAUGGCUCCCACCCCCUGAUUCUAUCUGGAUCGAACACUAGUAACGCCAAGGAAGAAGCACAAAACAAUGCUCCCAAGUGCAAGAAAGACUGUUUUUUUUUUUCAUGCUUUUAGCAAUGUGACCUUAGGUAUUGAUUUAUAGCCCGCCACUGCACCCGAGAGCAGAAGGGAACAUUGGUAAUUAAGUCAGUAUCUGCACUUUCUAAAAUAGUGCUGACUUGCAACAAAGAGAGACCCUUUAUUUUUCCUCUCUUGUCUCCCACUGAAUGCAGAUGCAGGCACUGACCUCUGACCUUUCUCCAAAUUCUCUUGCCACAGCUGUUAUUUUUCUUUCUCUAGGCCUUUAGCUGCUGAUAGGCUGGUAAAGAUUCAUUAAAUUAUAUGUGCAACUUUCUUUUAGCAAAACAUGAAGCUGUUUAUACCCUAAGCCUUAUAAAAUAUAUCUUUAUUGAGCUCAGAGUGAAAGUAAAUGCUUUCCCUGGGGCACCUAUCAGGGAUUUGCCAGAUAAGUACAUGGGUCACUGACUGACCACUUUAAUAAGGCACAGAAAUUUUUUUGAGGAAUUUUAUAUUAAACAUGGAACUUUCCAUUGUAAAAUUCCCAAGAUCGUAAAAGUGAAUUGAGUCAGAAAUCUCUUUUUUAUAUUCCAUUAGCGUCAUUACUGAAACAGGGCCUCAAAAGGUAAUAGCAAUAAAACCAAGUACCUUGAGGUGUGUAUGCAAAUUAUAUGCUAAUAUAUGGUAAUCUGAGUACCAUGUUCAGUGGCCAUAAAAAUUACUAAAUACAGCUAAUUAAAGGUAGGUAAGUUGCUGUGUUUUAUACUUCACAGCAAUAUGAAGGAAGUAGUGUAUUACAAUAAUUAUAGUAUUUCCUGCCCUGGGGAAUAUAUCCAACACUUUAAUAGGAUUUCUUAUUCUGGUGUAUUUGUCCAUUUCGCUGAGUGCAAUCCCUUUUUCUCCUUUCUACUCCAGGUUGUAGAUCCAUGAAGUUAGUACAAAACAAAGAAACAAAUUAAAUCUUUAGCCCAAAGGAGAACAAACACUAUCCUCUCUAGAAACUUUGGAAAAGUCAUGUCCACUUACCAUAUCUAUUAUAACAAUUGCCCCUGGGGUAGUGGGUUUAGCACUCAGCCAUAUUGAAAACUAGGGUAGCCAGAGACAAGGAUUCUCAGCAUGGCGAAUAACUAUUUCUCCAAGAAAUAUAACCUUAACAUAGAGCAUUCUUUAUUAUAGCGAACUCAAGUCAUGGAAUAUAUAUUUACUUUUUUAAUUCUUUAGAAAUUCUAAGGAUAUGAAAAAAAGAAACUGCAAUGAGAUUUAUAAGAAGUAUAAAGUUAAUGUGAAGUCUGCCUAAAAAUACCUGAUUUUCCUUAAUCUAACUAAAACAUUAUGUGUAUUAGCAUCUGUAUAUUCAAUAUGCUAAUAGUACUUUAAUCUCUAAAAUGUUUUUGCUCUAUAAUAUUAAAGAUAGACUUUAUCAGGCUGAAUAUUACCAAAGUUAAGCCAAAAAUUCACUUGAAAUGAAUUUACCAACUUACUUGUGAAGUUGAUGUUGUUAAUACUUUCCGGGUUGCUGGGUAGAGAUUUAAUAGCUCAGCAAUAUGAGAAGUUGAUAUUUUGUGCAUUCAUAAUAUAUCACAUAUCAGUAUUUCACAAAAUUAAAAGCAAAAAAAUACUGCAAAUCAACCAACAACAG
rnacentral:lncRNA from 1 species